rnacentral:lncRNA from 1 species
GGAAACUGUAGUGAUCUGUUGAAACGUCAGUAGGUCAUGGACAUAAAUGUUAUUCUCUAACAGACUGACCAGAAUUUUAAACUGAGAAACAACAUGAAUCUGCUGAAUCUUUUUUGAGAAGUUCUUGUUGGAUUUCUCGAGUGUCACUUCAAAUCUAUUGCAACCUAUGUCCUUCUUGAUCCUGUAAAGAAGAAGAUGCCCUUGUUUGGUACCAACAAG